AUUGAACGCUGGCGGCAUGCUUUACACAUGCAAGUCGAACGGUAACAGGUUAAGCUGACGAGUGGCGAACGGGUGAGUAAUGCAUCGGAACGUGCUCGGUCGUGGGGGAUAACGCAGCGAAAGCCGCGCUAAUACCGCAUACGAUCUAAGGAUCAAAGCGGGGGACCGUCAGGCCCCGCGCGAUCGGAGCGGCCGAUGUCAGUAUAGGUAGUUGGUGGGGUAAAGGCUCACCAAGCCAACGAUCCUUAGCUGGUCUGAGAGGACGACCAGCCACACUUGGACUGAGACACGGCCCAGACUCCUACGGGAGGCAGCAGUGGGGAAUUUUGGACAAUGGGCGAAAGCCUGAUCCAGCAAUGCCGCGUGCAGGAAGAAGGCCUUCGGGUUGUAAACUGCUUUUGUACGGAGCGAAAAGGUCUCCUCUAAUACAGGGGGCUCAUGACGGUACCGUAAGAAUAAGCACCGGCUAACUACGUGCCAGCAGCCGCAGUAA
rnacentral:rRNA from 1 species